rnacentral:rRNA from 1 species
GACGAACGCUGGCGGCGUGCUUAACACAUGCAAGUCGAACGAGACGAUUGAAAGCUUGCUUUUAAAAGUCGAGUGGCAAACGGGUGAGUAACGCGUAGACAACCUGCCUUUGAGAUGGGGACAACAGUUCGAAAGGACUGCUAAUACCGAAUGUUGUAUAUUUUCCACAUGGAAGAUAUAUUAAAGAUGGCCUCUAUUUAUAAGCUAUCGCUCAAAGAUGGGUCUGCGUCUGAUUAGCUGGUUGGUGGGGUAACGGCCUACCAAGGCGACGAUCAGUAGCCGGUCUGAGAGGAUGAACGGCCACAUUGGGACUGAGACACGGCCCAGACUCUUACGGGAGGCAGCAGUGGGGAAUCUUCCACAAUGGACGAAAGUCUGAUGGAGCAACGCCGCGUGAGUGAAGAAGGGUUUCGGCUCGUAAAGCUCUGUUGUCGGGGACGAAUGUGCAGUAUUUGAAUAAAGUACUGCAAUGACGGUACCUGACGAGGAAGCCACGGCUAACUACGUGCCAGCAGCCGCGGUAA